AGACUGUGUGUAUAUCGCGAGUCGGAGGCCAAACACACCGUAUUUCAUCUGUAGCAUUCAAGACUUCAAACUGGUCCACAACUCCCAAGCCUGUUGCAGAUCUCCAACUCCUGCUUUGUGUGACCCCCGCAGCAUGCUCUCUGCCGGUGGCAUCACAGUCACCACAGCAUCUUUCUGAAGCUAGGAGAGGGCCUGUAGGG
rnacentral:lncRNA from 1 species